CCGGCUUUAAUUAAAUCCUUUUUAAUCUGACUUGGUGAAGUCAGUGGGAGGAUUGAAAUUGGCUGGUUAAUUUCUUCUCUUCUAUCCUUUAAUAAAAAUUCUCAAAAAUUCUCAAAAGUUAUAGUGAUAACUAAGUCAUAGCCUCCCAUUAAGUGAGUGAUAAUGAGUCCAUUAGUUUAAUAAUCAUUGGAGGCCCAAAGGCCUGGUG
rnacentral:lncRNA from 1 species